ensembl:snoRNA U3 Small nucleolar RNA U3
AAGACUACACUUUCAGGGAGCAUUUCUAUAGUUUGUUACUAGAGAAGUUUCUCUGAAUAUGUAGAGCACAUGGACACAGGGAGGCGAGCAUCACACACUGUG